GGGGGACCAUCCUCCAAGGCUAAAUACUCCUGACUGACCGAUAGUGAACCAGUACCGUGAGGGAAAGGCGAAAAGAACCCCGGCGAGGGGAGUGAAAAAGAACCUGAAACCGUGUACGUACAAGCAGUGGGAGCCUCUUUAUGGGGUGACUGCGUACCUUUUGUAUAAUGGGUCAGCGACUUAUAUUCUGUAGCAAGGUUAACCGAAUAGGGGAGCCGAAGGGAAACCGAGUCUUAACUGGGCGUUAAGUUGCAGGGUAUAGACCCGAAACCCGGUGAUCUAGCCAUGGGCAGGUUGAAGGUUGGGUAACACUAACUGGAGGACCGAACCGACUAAUGUUGAAAAAUUAGCGGAUGACUUGUGGCUGGGGGUGAAAGGCCAAUCAAACCGGGAGAUAGCUGGUUCUCCCCGAAAGCUAUUUAGGUAGCGCCUCGUGAAUUCAUCUCCGGGGGUAGAGCACUGUUUCGGCAAGGGGGUCAUCCCGACUUACCAACCCGAUGCAAACUGCGAAUACCGGAGAAUGUUAUCACGGGAGACACACGGCGGGUGCUAACGUCCGUCGUGAAGAGGGAAACAACCCAGACCGCCAGCUAAGGUCCCAAAGUCAUGGUUAAGUGGGAAACGAUGUGGGAAGGCCCAGACAGCCAGGAUGUUGGCUUAGAAGCAGCCAUCAUUUAAAGAAAGCGUAAUAGCUCACUGGUCGAGUCGGCCUGCGCGGAAGAUGUAACGGGGCUAAACCAUGCACCGAAGCUGCGGCAGCGACACUAUGUGUUGUUGGGUAGGGGAGCGUUCUGUAAGCCUGUGAAGGUGGCCUGUGAGGGUUGCUGGAGGUAUCAGAAGUGCGAAUGCUGACAUAAGUAACGAUAAAGCGGGUGAAAAGCCCGCUCGCCGGAAGACCAAGGGUUCCUGUCCAACGUUAAUCGGGGCAGGGUGAGUCGACCCCUAAGGCGAGGCCGAAAGGCGUAGUCGAUGGGAAACAGGUUAAUAUUCCUGUACUUGGUGUUACUGCGAAGGGGGGACGGAGAAGGCUAUGUUGGCCGGGCGACGGUUGUCCCGGUUUAAGCGUGUAGGCUGGUUUUCCAGGCAAAUCCGGAAAACCAAGGCUGAGGCGUGAUGACGAGGCACUACGGUGCUGAAGCGACAAAUGCCCUGCUUCCAGGAAAAGCCUCUAAGCAUCAGGUAACAUCAAAUCGUACCCCAAACCGACACAGGUGGUCAGGUAGAGAAUACCAAGGCGCUUGAGAGAACUCGGGUGAAGGAACUAGGCAAAAUGGUGCCGUAACUUCGGGAGAAGGCACGCUGAUAUGUAGGUGAAGCGACUUGCUCGUGGAGCUGAAAUCAGUCGAAGAUACCAGCUGGCUGCAACUGUUUAUUAAAAACACAGCACUGUGCAAACACGAAAGUGGACGUAUACGGUGUGACGCCUGCCCGGUGCCGGAAGGUUAAUUGAUGGGGUUAGCGGUAACGCGAAGCUCUUGAUCGAAGCCCCGGUAAACGGCGGCCGUAACUAUAACGGUCCUAAGGUAGCGAAAUUCCUUGUCGGGUAAGUUCCGACCUGCACGAAUGGCGUAAUGAUGGCCAGGCUGUCUCCACCCGAGACUCAGUGAAAUUGAACUCGCUGUGAAGAUGCAGUGUACCCGCGGCAAGACGGAAAGACCCCGUGAACCUUUACUAUAGCUUGACACUGAACAUUGAGCCUUGAUGUGUAGGAUAGGUGGGAGGCUUUGAAGUGUGGACGCCAGUCUGCAUGGAGCCGACCUUGAAAUACCACCCUUUAAUGUUUGAUGUUCUAACGUUGGCCCCUAAUCGGGGUUGCGGACAGUGUCUGGUGGGUAGUUUGACUGGGGCGGUCUCCUCCUAAAGAGUAACGGAGGAGCACGAAGGUUGGCUAAUCCUGGUCGGACAUCAGGAGGUUAGUGCAAUGGCAUAAGCCAGCUUGACUGCGAGCGUGACGGCGCGAGCAGGUGCGAAAGCAGGUCAUAGUGAUCCGGUGGUUCUGAAUGGAAGGGCCAUCGCUCAACGGAUAAAAGGUACUCCGGGGAUAACAGGCUGAUACCGCCCAAGAGUUCAUAUCGACGGCGGUGUUUGGCACCUCGAUGUCGGCUCAUCACAUCCUGGGGCUGAAGUAGGUCCCAAGGGUAUGGCUGUUCGCCAUUUAAAGUGGUACGCGAGCUGGGUUUAGAACGUCGUGAGACAGUUCGGUCCCUAUCUGCCGUGGGCGCUGGAGAACUGAGGGGGGCUGCUCCUAGUACGAGAGGACCGGAGUGGACGCAUCACUGGUGUUCGGGUUGUCAUGCCAAUGGCACUGCCCGGUAGCUAAAUGCGGAAGAGAUAAGUGCUGAAAGCAUCUAAGCACGAAACUUGCCCCGAGAUGAGUUCUCCCUGAGACUUAGAGUCUCCUGAAGGAACGUUGAAGACGACGACGUUGAUAGGCCGGGUGUGUAAGCGCAGCGAUGCGUUGAGCUAACCGGUACUAAUGAACCGUGAGGCUUAACCUUACAACGCCGAAG
rnacentral:rRNA from 1 species